rnacentral:rRNA from 1 species
UACGUAGGGCGCAAGCGUUAUCCGGAAUUACUGGGCGUAAAGCGUGCGCAGGCGGUUUUGUAAGCCAGAUGUGAAAUCCCCGGGCUUAACCUGGGAAUGGCAUUUGGGACUGCAAGGCUGGAGUUUGGCAGAGGAGACUGGAAUUCCUGGUGUAGCAGUGAAAUGCGUAGAUAUCAGGAGGAAUACCGAUGGCGAAGGCAGGUCUCUGGGCUAUAACUGACGCUCAUGCACGAAAGCGUGGGGAGCAAACAGG